AACGAACGCUGCGGCAUGCCUAAUACAUGCAAGUCGAACGAGAUCUUCGGAUCUAGUGGCGCACGGGUGCGUAACGCGUGGGAAUCUGCCCUUGGGUUCGGAAUAACAGUUGGAAAUGACUGCUAAUACCGGAUGAUGACGUAAGUCCAAAGAUUUAUCGCCCAGGGAUGAGCCCGCGUAGGAUUAGGUAGUUGGUGAGGUAAAGGCUCACCAAGCCUGCGAUCCUUAGCUGGCCUGAGAGGAUGAUCAGCCACACUGGGACUGAGACACGGCCCAGACUCCUACGGGAGGCGGCAGUAGGGAAUAUUGGACAAUGGGGGCAACCCUGAUCUAGCAAUACCGCGUGAGCGAUGAAGGCCUUAGGGUUGUAAAGCUCUUUUACCCGGGAUGAUAAUGACAGUACCGGGAGAAUAAGCCCCGGCUAACUCCGUGCCAGCCGCCGCAGUAAUAC
rnacentral:rRNA from 1 species